AUCUUUGCGCUUGGGGCAAUGAUGCAGCUAGUGAGAUAAUACCGAGGCGCGUCAAUUGUUUGUUGACAACUACUUUUUCUGUAUCAAAAUAUAAGACGUUUUAGUGAUUCUAGUGUAAAUUUAGCGACACUACGAA
rnacentral:snRNA from 1 species